rnacentral:lncRNA from 1 species
AUCUCUGCUUAUUUUUGAAUUUUAAAUGGGUAAGGAAAAUUGCGGUAAAUUUUUUAAAAACAGUCUUGCGCAUGUCUAUUCAUAUGGAAUUGCCUAAAUAAUAUGUUGCUAUGACACAUAAACUGUUUUCACUUAAAUGACAAGCACUGCUCAAUUCCUUUCCUUUAGGGGUAUACUCCUCCUGUGUAAGUCAUUUGUUUAGUAGCAAAUGAAUACAUAACACUAAGUUCUGUCAUCUUAUAGAUGUUUUUAUAGCUCAUUGCAAGUUUUGUGUUUUUCUUGUUUGCCUUGUGAACAGUUUUUAGAUAGUGUUAUUCAUUUUGAAAGAAAAACAUUCUUAUUUUUAAAAUUUUUUCUGUACAUAUGAACUUCCAUAUGCCACAGGUGUGGCCCUAAAAAGAUAAAAUAAAUAAAUGAAGAAAGGCAGGAAUGGGUGGCUGGGAGUUCCUGCUGUGGUGCAGUGGGAUCAGCAGUUCUCUGAAGCACUGGGACACAGGUUUGGUCCCUGGCCCCACCAGUGGGUAAAGGAUCUGACAUUGCCGCAGCUGCAGCUUGGAUCUGAUCCCUGGCCUGGGAGCUCCAUAUGUUGCAGGGUUGGGGGAAGGAAUGGGUGGCCAGUGUAAAACAACCGUACUUUAAUUUUUAGAAAAGGUGAUAAAUAAAACCCAUACAUAGUCAAAUCAGAGGGAAAAAAAGAAUAGGUGGCUCAUAAUAUCUUGUCAUUGUGUAAUACUUAAAAUGUAAGUUCCCUGGUGAAUAAUGGUGAAAUCUGGAGAAGGUUAAAAUUGUAAACAUAAUAAAUAGGCCCAAAUAUUGUAGACUUGCAAUAAUAAAUAAAAUUUUAUAGUUGUACUGUAAAACUGAUUGCUUUUUUGGAAAUGACUUUUAUAAUAAUCUUACCAAGUUUGAUAUGUGAAGAAAAGUGUUAGCUAUGUCAGUACAGUAAAAUAACUAACAGUGUGACUUAAGAAUACAAUAUAUUCUUUAUGUAUCCCAGAGGUACAUGCUUCUAUACAUGGUUCCAAGCAUGUUUUAUUUUCCCAGAUUUUUUCCUAAUCAAAUUCUCAAUCAUUCUUUGAGACCUAGUUCCAUUGCCAUGCACUUCUGUAAAGCUAUUUGAUACCAAGUAGAAUUCAUUGCUUUCUUCUUCAUUCCUCUAGACCUUCCUUUAUUUGCCCUGUGUUGUAGAUAGUUGUAUACUGUUUUAAAUCCCUGAGUUCUGGAGUAUUGAUUCUAGUUUAUUCAUCUGAAGUGCCUCUCAGUCCCUUAAAUACAGUAGAAAUGAAGUAAAAAAAAGGUUUUAAUGAAAGCCAUUGUUUGAAGAAUUCUUUAUAGUUGGUCUUACAUCUGAAAGGACCCACCAAAAUCUAAUAAUGUUUAUUGUGUUUAUAAAGAAUAAGUCCUUCUUGGCUUAUUUGGUAACAAAUGACUUGAGAGACUUGUGAAGAGAAUCAGUGAUCCCCAUUAUCUGUGAAUAGUGUGCUUUAUAAAUGUUGGUAGUGGCUCAAAAACCUUUUUGUUUACUCUUAAGUUUUUAAAAAAAUACAUAUUUUUAAAAGGAGGAGUAAUGAAUAUAGUGCAUUAUGUCUGAAAAAACCUUCAUUUUACUGCUUAGUGAUACAGAGAUUCCAAAGUUUGGAUCUUAAGUCUGUUUAGUUUGGUACUUGGUUUUAAUGCUUGUCUUAGCUAGAAGGCAGCUCAUGUGGGAACAUAUACCCAAAAAGAAUAAGUACCUCUUUGGCUGUACUUUCUAAAUGGAGAUGCUCACUGUUUAAUUUCUGUCCAUCAAUUAUGCAUAUUUGGCUUGUAAAGUUUUCCCUUACUGUGCAAACCAAUGUGAGGACUUGCAUUUAUGUUUUUAAUAAAUGCAUUCAAAAUCCACAGAAACUCUAUAUGUAUGGAAGACGUUUUAAAGAGUUAGAAAAUGGUUUCUCUGUUUUUAGAGUGUGCAGGUAUGAGUAUUUCAAGAUGAUACACAUUUCUUUUGGAAUGUAGUUAUUUUCUUACUAAAUUUUGAAAUUUGUCAUUUACUUUUAAGGUACACAUAGGUUAAUCAUGUUUUUUUGUUUUUUUUUUUUUCUUUUUAAGGCCACACUCACAGCAUAUGAAAGUUCCCAGGCUAGGAGUUGAAUCGGAGCUACAGCUGCCAGCCUACACCACAGCCACAGCAACGCUGGAUCCUUAACCCACUGAGCGAGGCCAGGGAUUGAACUCGAGUCCUCAGGGAUACUAGUUGGAUUCGUUUCCACUGCACCACAACAGGAAUUGCAAUCAUGAUUUCUAAAAAAACAAUGGCUAGGUAGUGUGCUGCUAACAGUCACUUAUCACAGAAAAUGAGCAAAUUUAGACCUUCUUUUUUUUUUGGUAGAAGAUAAAUGCUUUACUCAUCUUUAAAAUUAACACCUUUUAAAAAUACGUUUGCAUGAGGUAACCAGUAAACCUGUUUGGUAUAAAAUACUAUGGUCACUCCUCAACCACAUCAAUAACAUCCUAUAACACUUGGUGCUCUUUCUGCUUCAACUUCUCUUUUGCUGCAGUAAUUGCUUUUGAGUUAAACCUUACUUCCUCUGUCCCAGCUUUCUUUUGUUGAGGUCAAAGCAGCUGCUUUAUGAAGGAACAUAUAAUACAGUUUUUCCAUAGAAUAUUGUUUUUAUUAAAGAAAUCAUCUAUUGUAAGAGUGUAUCUUCUCUGGAACAGCAGUCUCUUGUAAUAGUUUACAAAAGGUGCAUUAUUUAAUGUUUGAAAAAGAAUCUAGCAAAUACUAUCACUUUUCACUCAGAGUAUUUAGAAUCAGUGCCAGAAUACUUAGAUUACUUUACAUAUAUGAUGUGUGACUGUCUGACAGGUGGCCAUAAUGAAGAAGCCAGUGUCAUUUUAUAUGUUAAAAUGUAUAGUAAGAUAUAUUGUAUUACAUCAUAUUACAUAUAUUGUAUCACAGCUAUGUAUUAUAUCAUAUCAUAUUACAUCAUACUUAAAAUAUGUAUAUCUAUUAAGAUAAAGAUUAAAUAUAAGUAGAGCUCCUAAUAUGUUGUUCUUUUACCCUAAUAGAUCAUCACUCAUACUUCCUGGGUUAUAAUCACCUCCAUUUUGGAAAUCACUGUACAAUCUCCUUGAAUUAGUGUUGUUAAUAAUGAGCAUUUUGUAAUAAGUUCCAUUUCAUAGUGUGGCUUUCAUCUUAUAUGAAGCCAUCUUGAAAGCACUUGGGACAAGACAUUCUGAUUUUCUUACUAAUUGGAAAGAAAUAUUUGUAGAAGAAAAAUAGAUAAAUUUCAAAAAAUGAGAUCUUAAUACAAUGUAUUCUUAAAAGACCCAGAAUUGCCAAAGCAAUCUUGAUGGAUAUAAAGCAAGAGGCAUAACUCUCCCAGACUUCAGACAAUAUUACAAAGCUACAGUAAUCAAGACAGUGUGGUACUAGUCCAAAACCAGACGUAUGGGUCAAUGGAACAGAAUGGAGAGCCCAGAAAUAAACCUAGACACCUGCAGUCAAUUAAUCUUUGACAAAGAAGGCAAGAGUAUAAAAUGGGGAAAAGGCAGUCUCUUUGGCAACUGGUGCAGGGAAAAUUGGACAGCUGCAUGUAAAUCAGGGAAACUGGAACACACCCUCAUACCAUGUACCAAAAAAUAAACUCAAAAUGUCUCAAAAGACUUAAACAUAAGACAUGACAUCAUAAAACUCCUAGAAGAGAACAAAGGCAAAACAUUCUCUGACAUAAACCAUACAAAUGUUUUCUUAGGCGAGUCUCCCAAGGCAAUAGAAAUAAAAACAAAAAUAAGCAAAUGGGACCUAAUCAAAUAUAAAAGCUUUUGCACAGCAAAGGAAACCAUUAAAAACAGUGAAAAAACCUAAAGAAUGGGAGAAAAUAGUUGCAGUGAUGCAACUGACAAGGGCUUAAGCUCCAAAAUGAACAAACAACU